UUCCUUGUCCAAUAUGAAACUUUGUAUAAAACAAUAUACUUGCAUGAAUUAGCCUUAUGAAAUUUUGCAAUCACACUUUUCCAAGGAAGUCUAAUCCAAAUGUAGAGCACCUAUGACUUGGCUGGGUAUUCCACGUAGGACAAUGAGAUUACUUAAUCAUUUACACUUGAAUAAGGCUCUCAUAGGAAUCCUUUUUGAUACAGAUCAACAAUUCCAAAAUAAUCAACUUCGUAUACCUAGAUGCACGAACCUUGCCACCUAUCAAAUUACUUGCUUUCCAUGGUUUCCUAGUUGUAAUGAAAUUGGUUCAUACACAACUUCAGAAAGAGUAGAGUUAUUUUAGAAUUGGGCAACAAAAUCAAUCUCUUCAAGAAAACCAAUUUAUUUGGCCACUUCCGUGUAGGUCUCUAAGUACUUAACUGAUGUCCCUCUAUAAAAGAAACACAAACUAUGAUAAUUUAUGCAUUCUUUCCACAACGCAAGCCUCUGUCAUGUUCGAGAAGCUGGCAGCUAUGAGUUUUCCACACCGUGCGAGGAAGGCAACGAUCAUGUGGAUCUGAAACUUCGAGUGGCUAAUACCUCUGUCUAUCGGCGGGUUGAAGCGUCGUGCCAUUGGCACCAAUACUUACCGCUGAAUUAAAGCUCCGUGUUGUUGGCAUCGAUCCAUGUCCGGAAGGCUCGUCCAUUGGUGAUUAACGAGGAUCUGAGAGUGCCCGAAUGAGACAUUGGUGAGAAACUUCUUGGAACUUCCUCUCGGCUUUGACGAUGCGCUUAUCGCUUCGAAGAACCACAGGCCACGUUCUCUUUUGGCGGAGGCUUUGACGAAGAUUCCCAUGGUGCAUCCACACUUCUUGAUGGGCAAACAACCACUUGGUGUCCGCAUUACACAUACCCUCAUGAUCACGACUCGUUCUCCAUCUCUACUUUGGAAAGAAGUGCACAAAAGUUUCUUGGUCUGCUUUGGCGUGGAACUACAUCUUCUUGCAAUUUUGCGAAAAAAGUUCACACGGACCAUCCUUCUUACCGCUCGGUGAGAAAGAAGCUUCGAGUGACCACAUUCCAUCUACAGCAAGCGAACACGUGGCUCAUCUCAUCCUUGCGGCUUGGCAAUUAUGCAGUUUCGAGUGUCUACAUUUCAUCCUUGGUGAGCAGGCAUGUGGUGCCAUCCGGCUUGGCGAGAUUGACACUGAAAAUAGACCUUUCCAACUUCGGCGAGCAAGCACUUUGCACAUCUCCGGAAAAAUAUUUAUUCCCCUGUACUGUCUCAUGUGAAUUUGUAAAACUUGGCUUCAGAUUCCGCCUUUCUCGACUCCUCAGCUUGCGCAUCCGCGGUAGAAAAUUCAUAAGUCGGUGUACGAGUAUCUAAAUCACGAUCCGCUUGUUUCGUUGGAAAGAAAACUCCCAGAACUACAAACUGUAUAAAAUCACUGCAAAAUUAUUUCUGGAUUUAUACAGAUAAUUCCAUGAAGUUAGUUGACGAAUUUUGAUUUUCUGCACUCUCGUCAAAAAAAUUCAUAUCUCAAGCUAGGGGCGUCAGAAUUGCGAGCUUCUUGAUCCUGUAGAAACCAGAUUUCAAGGAGUACAUUCAUGCCAAAGAUGGAAGAUUAAAUCAGCCUGGAUUGACCAAGACAAAAUUUUGAAGUUGACGCUAUGCUCUUUCACAUCGUGACUUCGGUCAACGUGCUUUACAAAUCAUAUCCCUUGUUAUGUUUCUUUUACAGAUUUUGAAAGGAGCUCAAAGGACCUUGAUGUCAGCUAGACGAGGUACACAAAAUGCGGAUGUGUUGAAGUUGUGAGCAACAAGCAGUCAGUGAAUCUUCGUGAGAAAGAAAAAUUUAUUGCCAUAGAUCAUUGCAUGAAGCUGCUCAUCCCCCAACCAUCACACAUUUUUCUAUGAUGUUCUCGAAGCUCAUGAACAACAACUCUUGUGGUGAUUAGACCUUUGAAGGUAGAUGAUAGUCAAGCGACCAUCACGUUUGAGGGAUGCACCAUCAAGGAUGAUUAAUCAAAUGUAGAAAGAUCACACAUGAUGGAAGAAGAACUCGAGACAAAUCGACAAAAAUCAUUGGAGUCAAUUAUUUGCAUGACUUUAGGCUCUUUGUAUAGGAUAUAAUCUAAUUCCUGUCUCCAUCACGGAUGUAACAAACUCUUACAGUGUUGAAGAAAUAAAAUAUUUUUUAUACUUCAAAGCAAA